rnacentral:rRNA from 2 species
GUGCUUAACAUGCAAGUCGAACGAUGAUGCCCAGCUUGCUGGGCGGAUUAGUGGCGAACGGGUGAGUAAUACGUGAGUAACCUGCCCUUGACUCUGGGAUAAGCCUGGGAAACUGGGUCUAAUACUGGAUACUACCUCUUACCGCAUGGUGGGUGGUGGAAAGGGUUUUACUGGUUUUGGAUGGGCUCACGGCCUAUCAGCUUGUUGGUGGGGUAAUGGCUCACCAAGGCGACGACGGGUAGCCGGCCUGAGAGGGUGACCGGCCACACUGGGACUGAGACACGGCCCAGACUCCUACGGGAGGCAGCAGUGGGGAAUAUUGCACAAUGGGCGGAAGCCUGAUGCAGCGACGCCGCGUGAGGGAUGACGGCCUUCGGGUUGUAAACCUCUUUCAGUAGGGAAGAAGCGAGAGUGACGGUACCUGCAGAAGAAGCGCCGGCUAACUACGUGCCAGCAGCCGCGGUAAUACGUAGGGCGCAAGCGUUGUCCGGAAUUAUUGGGCGU